rnacentral:rRNA from 1 species
AUUGAACGCUGGCGGCAGGCCUAACACAUGCAAGUCGAGCGGAGCGGCGGACGGGUGAGUAAUGCCUAGGAAUCUGCCUGGUAGUGGGGGAUAACUACUGGAAACGGUAGCUAAUACCGCAUACCAUCGGAUGUGCCCAGACGGGAUUAGCUAGUAGGUGGGUGAACGUCCGACCUAGGCGACGAUCACUAGCUGGUCUGAGAGGAGGACCAGCCACACUGGAACUGAGACACGGUCCAGACUCCUACGGGAGGCAGCAGUGGGGAAUAUUGCACAAUGGGCGCAAGCCUGAUGCAGCCAUGCCGCGUGUGUGAAGAAGGUCUUCGGAUUGUAAAGCACUUUAAGUUGGGAGGCGUUACCAACAGAAUAAGCACCGGCUAACUUCGUGCCAGCAGCCGUGGUAAUAC